UACGUAGGGACCAAGCGUUGUCCGGAUUCAUUGGGCGUAAAGAGCUCGUAGGCGGUUCGGUAAGUCGGGUGUGAAACCUCCAGGCUCAACCUGGAGACGCCACCCGAUACUGCUGUGACUAGAGUCCAGUAGGGGAGCGUGGAAUUCCUGGUGUAGCGGUGAAAUGCGCAGAUAUCAGGAGGAACACCAGCGGCGAAGGCGGCGCUCUGGGCUGGAACUGACGCUGAGGAGCGAAAGCGUGGGGAGCGAACAGG
rnacentral:rRNA from 1 species